rnacentral:rRNA from 1 species
GACGAACGCUGGCGGCGCGCUUAACACAUGCAAGUCGAACGGAAAGGCCCUGCUUUUGUGGGGUGCUCGAGUGGCGAACGGGUGAGUAACACGUGAGUAACCUGCCCUUGACUUUGGGAUAACUUCGGGAAACUGGGGCUAAUACCGGAUAGGAGCUCCUGCUGCAUGGUGGGGGUUGGAAAGUUUCGGCGGUUGGGGAUGGACUGGCGGCUUAUCAGCUUGUUGGUGGGGUUGUGGCUUACCAAGGCUUUGACGGGUAGCCGGCCUGAGAGGGUGACCGGCCACAUGGGGACUGAGAUACGGCCCAGACUCGUACGGGAUGCAGCAGUGGGGAAUAUUGUCCAAUGGGCGGAAGCCUGAUGCAGCAACGCCGCGUGCGGGAUGACGGCCUUCGGGUUGUAAACCGCUUUCGCCUGUGACGAAGCGUGAGUGACGGUAAUGGGUAAAGAAGCACCGGCUAACUACGUG